rnacentral:rRNA from 1 species
AUUGAACGCUGGCGGCAGGCCUAACACAUGCAAGUCGAGCGGAUGAAGGGAGCUUGCUCCUGGAUUCAGCGGCGGACGGGUGAGUAAUGCCUAGGAAUCUGCCUGGUAGUGGGGGAUAACGUCCGGAAACGGGCGCUAAUACUGCAUACGUCCUGAGGGAGAAAGUUGGGGAUCUUCGGACCUCACGCUAUCAGAUGAGCCUAGGUCGGAUUAGCUAGUUGGUGGGGUAAAGGCCUACCAAGGCGACGAUCCGUAACUGGUCUGAGAGGAUGAUCAGUCACACUGGAACGGAGACACGGUCAAGACUCCUGCGGGAGGCAGCAGUGGGGAAUAUUGGACAGUAGGCGAAAGCCUGAUCCAACCAUGCCGCGUGUGUGAAGAAGGUCUUCGGAUUGUAAAGCACUUUAAGUUGGGAGGAAGGGCAGUAAGUUAAUACCUUGCUGUUUUGACGUUACCAACAGAAUAAGCACCGGCUAACUUCGUG